GUUUUUCUUCUUGGGGGUCUUUCUUUGUUUUUUCUUUCUUUCUUUUUUCUUUUUCUUUUUUGUUUUCAUCUUCAAAAGGAGAGAAAGGACCGGGA
rnacentral:ribozyme from 13 species